CUGCCCCCCACUGAGUUUGGUGGCAACAGUGGGAUCCAAAGGAGACACCUGAUGGCUUCGAGGAUGAGAAACACAGUCAUUGGUACCCUCAAAACCUUUGAGUUCUCCAUCUUUUUCGCUGUUUCUGAGGGCUGUGGGAGUGCGAGAUCCUGAAGAACUUCUUCUCAUCCUGCACUGUCAUCUCUGCUCUGCAGAAAACCUUCACAAGCCACCUGAAGAACACACGGGGGACGUUUCCCGGAAGCCAGGACCCCGCUGCUCCUUCUGUCUUCACCACAUCUCCAAGGGGCUGCACCCUGCCUGCCCCAGGGAUGUGCAUGGCAGAGGAUUCCCAUGGCCCAGGUGGACAAACAGGCUGCUCAUCCUCAGGAGGGGCCCUUCACGUUUGCCCCCCCAGAGUGCAACCCCCAGAGAGUGCAGGAGAAGCAGCAGCAGCAGCAGGGGAAUGAGAUCAACCUUGAGAAGAGGACUGAGGAGCAGCUGUGGCACUCCCUGCAGGGGAGGGGAAAGAGGUGGAAAGCAGAGACCUUCUGGGCAGAACAGUCCCUGGCUUCACCCCCUGUAUCUUACAUUGAGUGGAAGAGUUUGAUACCAGAGGAGUGGGAGACCCAUCCAAUUGGCGGGUGGGUUGAGGGGAGGAUGGCAUCAAGGAUAUCUUCCUGGAGGAGGGGCUGAUUAUUCCCAUUCUGAUAACUGGUAGAACCUGAAUGGAACUGGAGGGAAGGAUGGUUUCCAGGACUGGUCCCCUGUCCCACUCCUCACCUCCAACAAGGCCCCUGCAGCAUCCCCCACCCAGGCCCUGUCUGCAUCCUCUCCUUCCCUCUGGUCCCAGGAAUACCGAGUCAUGAGGAAGAUCCUGCUGCUCCAGGAGGCUGCCAAGAAUUACAACCUAGAACCCGAGGGAGCGAUUUGGGACCUCGUUCCAGGACAUGGAGUUGCUCAACGAGAAUGAGAGGUCAAACACCAAGGGUAGAGGUCUUCAAGAGAUCAAGUCUAAUCUACCUACGGGUGUGGCAGGCUUACCUAUGGAUGUUCAAGCCAGACAUUGCCAGAAGAACUACAUCUCUUCACCCAUAGCACGGACUGUAGGAAAAAGCCCAGAGGAGCAAUGAAGACAAAGAAGACACGACACCUGCAAAAAGUCAGUGGAGUAUUUCUACACAACAAACCUUCCAGGCUGCCAUGAUCCUCCCUCUGGACCCUGUGGUCAGGGUCGCUGCAGAGAUCCUCCCUUUGGACCCCGCCUGCCUGAAGGGCCCAUACCUUGGUCAGGCAUCUUAGAAGGACUGCCGUGAGCCAUGUCAUAAAAAGGAGAAAACAUCACAGUGGACAGCCCCAAUUCCUGCAUAUACAGAUGGGAAACUUAGGUGCACUGAGAGGAUGCACAACAGCAGAAUAUCCGUGGCCCGACUUUCUGGAGCAUCAGUAUUACUACAAGAUUUGGAAGAAGCAAAGUUAGGUCAUUUCCAUGGUUCUCUGCCACCAACUUCCAUAACCAUCAGGAUAUUCUACAACUUCUGCAAGAGUAACAAUUUUACCUUACACUGUAUUUGUCUCAUGUGGUUUAAAACAUCCAGAAAUCAUUGAUAAACUGACCCUGCCCAAACUAAAGCAUGAAAAAUUCAUGGAAAGGACUCUGACAUUUACACUGAAGUACAGGCUUCUGAUAAACUUUCUGAUCAUAAAACUAAACUUGGUAAGAAAUUACAGACAUCUGAUGGAGAGACUGAUAACUUCAUGAAGCUGCUAACAAAAAGAUUGAGAUCAAGAAUGGAUUACACGGGACUGAAUAAACUGAUAAGGACGCUUAUAAUUUUUAUGAUUUUUCAUUUGAAGUAUUGCUGAAUUUUUAAUGUUUUGUUUUUUCAGAUUUAAGGAAAACUUUUUCUUGUUUCUCCUGAGCUAGCUAUGACUUAUAACAAUUUGGUAAAUGAUAUUUUUGUAAGUAAAAUGGAAAUAUUUAUCUUUUUCUCUCUACCUGAUCCCUCCAGGAUUUGGAAACUCUUAGUAAGUGAGUAUUGUUGUUUUCAUGGCAAUAUGGUUAUUUGCAUAAGUUCAAUAAGAAUCUGUUCUCCUUAUAACAGGACACAAUUGGAAACACUUGUUAUAUUACCAAGGUUGUGACUGGAACAUCAUAUUUGCGAUAUAACCAUAUAGCUUUUGAGGAAUGAAGAUUGGACUUUAUGGAAUAAAGACACGUGGAAAUAUUGGCCUGGUACCUUAUGUUCCAAGCAGCACAUACCAGGAUAAGUAAAGAAUGUCACUUGUCUGGCAGGUACAAGGAACCUUGAAAUAUUAGGGGGGAACCUUGGAAGAGAGGAAUUCACCCAAAUCUGUAGGUAUUGCAGGCAAAGUCUGAUGACAAAAUCCAUGGCUUGGCUUU